AUAUCAGUCAUGCAUAGCAUAUCAAUAAGCGGAGGAAAAGAAACUAACAAGGAUUCCCUUAGUAACGGCGAGUGGAGCGGGAAGAGCUCAAAUUUGAAAUCUUCAAGGUUUUACCUUGACGAAUUGUAGUUUAAAGAAGUGUUUUCUGUUGAAGUUUUGGUAAAAGUUCUUUGGAAUAGGACAUCAUAGAGGGUGAGAAUCCCGUAUUUGACCAUUACUUUCAGCUUUGUGAUACACUUUCAAAGAGUCGGAUUGUUUGGGAAUGCAGUCCAAAAUGGGUGGUAAAUUUCAUCUAAAGCUAAAUAUUGGCGAGAGACCGAUAGCGAACAAGUACCGUGAGGGAAAGAUGAAAAGAACUUUGAAAAGAGAGUUAAACAGUACGUGAAAUUGUCAAAAGGGAAGCGUUUGACACCAGUGUUGUUUUCUCGAAAAUCAAUUAAAAAGAGUUGGAUUUUGUGUUGUAUUGACAUUAUCGGCUUUCUUCACUCUUUUCCAGCUUUUUUUAAUGCACUUUUCGUUUAACAAGUCAACAUCAGUUUCUUUUGUUGUACAAAGGUCAUUGGAAGGUGGCUUUCUCUUCGGAGAAAGUGUUUAUAGCCUUUGACUCAUGCAAUCGGAGAGACUGAGGUCUGCAGCGUAGAUCCUUCGGGGUUAGAUACAUUUGUGCUAAGUUAUAGCUUUUCAUAGACAACUUGUUGACUAUGUUUAGUCUUGUAGCUUACUCGCUUAUGCUAUUUUACCUACGCUUAGGAUGUUGAACUCUAUCACACACAG
rnacentral:rRNA from 1 species